GCGCCCCGCAGGGGAGCGGCAGACGGGUGAGUAACGCGUGGGAACGUGCCUUGUGGUUCGGAACAACCUAGGGAAACUUGGGCUAAUACCGGAUGAUCCCGUGAGGGGAAAGAUUUAUCGCCACAAGAGCGGCCCGCGUUGGAUUAGCUAGUUGGUGGGGUAACGGCCUACCAAGGCUUCGAUCCAUAGCUGGUCUGAGAGGACGACCAGCCACACUGGGACUGAGACACGGCCCAGACUCCUACGGGAGGCAGCAGUGGGGAAUCUUGGACAAUGGGGGCAACCCUGAUCCAGCCAUGCCGCGUGGACGAUGAAGGUCUUCGGGUUGUAAAGUCCUUUUGGCGGGGACGAUAAUGACGGUACCCGCAGAAUAAGCCCCGGCUAACUUCGUGCCAGCAGCCGCGGUAAUACGAAGGGGGCUAGCGUUGUUCGGAAUUACUGGGCGUAAAGCGCGCGCA
rnacentral:rRNA from 1 species